rnacentral:rRNA from 1 species
GGGUCUAUCCAGUGGUCGGGCUUUACGGUCCGUACUGGUUCGAUGGGUUCCUACCUUCUGAAUAACCGGCAUGCCAUUCAGUUGGUGCGCCGGGGAAGCAGAGCUAUUACCUUGAAAAAAUUAGAGUGCUUAAAGCAGGCUAUUGCUUGAAUAGAUUAGCAUGGAAUAAUAAAAUAGGACGGCAUGGUUCUAUUUUGUUGGUUUCUAGGAUCACCGUA